rnacentral:rRNA from 1 species
ACGGGACCAGGGGCAACUCUGGUUCAGUGGCGGACGGGUGCGUAACACGUGAGGAACAUGACUUUCGGUGGGGGAUAGCCGGCCCAACGGCCGGGUAAUACCGCGUACGACCUUUCGGGGACAUCCCCGGUUGGUGAAAGCAGCAAUGCGCCGAAAGAGUGCCUCGCGGCCUAUCAGCUAGUUGGUGGGGUAACGGCCCACCAAGGCAACGACGGGUAGCUGGUCUGAGAGGAUGGCCAGCCACAUUGGGACUGAGACACGGCCCAGACUCCUACGGGAGGCAGCAGUGGGGAAUAUUGCGCAAUGGGCGAAAGCCUGACGCAGCGACGCCGCGUGUGGGAUGACGGCCUUCGGGUUGUAAACCACUGUCGGGAGGGACGAAUGCCCCGCAAGGGGAGUGACGGUACCUCCAAAGGAAGCACCGGCUAACUCCGUGCCAGCAGCCGCGGUAAUACGGAGGGUGCGAGCGUUG